UAGGGAAUCUUCCACAAUGGACGCAAGUCUGAUGGAGCAACGCCGCGUGAGUGAAGAAGGUUUUCGGACCGUAAAGCUCUGUUGUUGGUGAAGAAGGAUAGAGGUAGUAACUGGCCUUUAUUUGACGGUAAUCAACCAGAAAGUCACGGCUAACUACGCGCCAGCAGCCGCGGUAAUACGUAGGUGGCAAGCGUUGUCCGGAUUUAUUGGGCGUAAAGCGAGCGCAGGCGGAAGAAUAAGUCUGAUGUGAAAGCCCUCGGCUUAACCGAGGAAUUGCAUCGGAAACUGUUUUCUUGAGUGCAGAAGAGGAGAGUAGAACUCCAUGUGUAGCGGUGGAAUGCGUAGAUAUAUGGAAGAAUACCAGUGGCGAAGGCGGCUCUCUGGUCUGCAACUGACGCUGAGGCUCGAAAGCAUGGGUAGCGAACAGGAUUAGAUACCCUGGUAGUCCAUGCCGUAAACGAUGAGUGCUAAGUGUUGGGAGGCUUCCGCCUCUCAGUGCUGCAGCUAACGCAUUAAGCACUCCGCCUGGGGGAGUACGACCGCAAGGUUGAAAC
rnacentral:rRNA from 1 species